UACAGAGGGGGCUAGCGUUGUUCGGAAUUACUGGGCGUAAAGCGCACGUAGGCGGACAUUUAAGUCAGGGGUGAAAUCCCAGAGCUCAACUCUGGAACUGCCUUUGAUACUGGGUGUCUUGAGUAUGGAAGAGGUGAGUGGAAUUCCGAGUGUAGAGGUGAAAUUCGUAGAUAUUCGGAGGAACACCAGUGGCGAAGGCGGCUCACUGGUCCAUUACUGACGCUGAGGUGCGAAAGCGUGGGGAGCAAACAGG
rnacentral:rRNA from 1 species